UACAGAGGUCUCGAGCGUUAGGCGGAAUCACUGGGCUUAAAGCGUGUGUAGGCGGGUUGGUAAGUGUUUUGUGAAAUCCCAUGGCUUAACCAUGGAACUGCUGGGCAUACUGCCGAUCUUGUGCAACCUAGGGGCGAGCGGAACAGAUGGUGGAGCGGUGAAAUGCGUAGAUAUCAUCUGGAACGCCAAUGGUGAAAACAGCUCGCUGGGGGUUUGCAGACGCUGAGACACGAAAGCCAGGGGAGCGAACGGG
rnacentral:rRNA from 1 species